rnacentral:rRNA from 1 species
AGCGAACGCUGGCGGCAGGCCUAACACAUGCAAGUCGAACGAACUCUUCGGAGUUAGUGGCGGACGGGUGAGUAACACGUGGGAACGUGCCUUUAGGUUCGGAAUAACUCAGGGAAACUUGUGCUAAUACCGAAUGUGCCCUUCGGGGGAAAAAUUUAUCGCCUUUAGAGCGGCCCGCGUCUGAUUAGCUAGUUGGUGAGGUAAAGGCUCACCAAGGCGACGAUCAGUAGCUGGUCUGAGAGGAUGAUCAGCCACAUUGGGACUGAGACACGGCCCAAACUCCUACGGGAGGCAGCAGUGGGGAAUCUUGCGCAAUGGGCGAAAGCCUGACGCAGCCAUGCCGCGUGAAUGAUGAAGGUCUUAGGAUUGUAAAAUUCUUUCACCGGGGACGAUAAUGACGGUACCCGGAGAAGAAGCCCCGGCUAACUUCGUG